rnacentral:lncRNA from 1 species
AAACGAGAAGCUCAGUACCAACCCCCAAUGAUUCCUUGUCGGACAACACAAAACAAUCAUUGGGAGUCAUUCUCGGCAGACGCAUCCAGCGGAGCCUAGCAGGGUCAAAAGCUUCCCACUCCAGUGGCUGGCAGGAGAAAUACACCCAAUGCUCCACCACACCAUUUCGUCGCCGCGCUCUAUAAAGUUCACUGCUCCUAAUUAAUGAGCGGAAGUUGUGGUUCAAAGAUGCUAUGGCGCCAUAAUCUGACCUCGAGCAACGAAUGAGAGAAUUGAUGGAGCUGUCACGGUCAAGGGCAGGAAAAAGUGUGUUCCUGUCAGAAUUAUCCCCAGCAUGAUCCCGUUUGUCAGUUUGCUCAGGAGGGGAUGCUGAAGAACUUCCCAAGGAUAGAGUCACUCCCACUAGGUUGGAACCGUCGGACUGCUUUUGCAACUUGCGUUGCACAUUUUCACCCUCCUGGUCAUAUUCCAAUGGCCUUUUGCCAUUCUGGACUUCAAUACUAUCAAGUCGAUAACUCAUGCAAACCGUCCCGUUACUUUCUGUCUGACAAUCCCUUGUAACCACCACACAGGACCGUUCUUCUGACAUAUCUUCCAGAUUCAACCCUAAAAUAAACACCAGUUCUGCUGCCUUGCUCUGGUAUGGAUCCUAGACCCUGUGACUUCCUGAUAAGACUGAUACAAAUUGAACAAAAUUAGUAAGGAACCAAAGAAAAACUCUUCCCACAAGGAGAAAGAAUCAUCAAAACUCAUAAAUUCACGUUGAAUCAAGAAAAUCACAAAUAGAUACAAUCAUCAAAACUCAUAAAUUCAGGUUAAAUCAAGAAACCACAGACAAAGAAAUUCUCAAUCACCAAAGCACAGAAACAGAAAUUUUUUUCACUAGUUUUGAUCAUUAAUUAAAGCAAACCAAGUAAUGCUCAAUGCCUUUUUAUGGAUAACAACAAUUCUGAUAACACAAAUGCCGGGAUUUGUCAGCAAACAAAGGGGAAAAAAUCCCACAAACAUCUAUGAACCCUCAUUGAUUCAAGCAAAAAAAAAAAACACCAAACAUCCAUGAAAUUCAAGCAAAAAAAAAAAACCACCACACAUCUAUGAACUCUCACUGAUUCAAGUUUGAAAAAAAUCAAGAAUCCAGAUCAAGUAAACUCCUUAGAAAAGAUUCAACAUUCAAUCCACCAAGUCCUUGAAAAACAAUCAAAUGAAAAAAACUCCUUAACCAAAAAAAACCCUCAAAAUCAAAUAAACAUGCAAGAAUCAUUAAAAAUUCAAACUUUACAACCCAAAAAAUGAAGAACCAAAAAAAAACCUCAAAAUCAGAACUUUAAAUCAAAUAAACAUGCAAGAAUCAAUAAAGAUUCAAACUUUACAACCCAAAAAAUCAAGAACUCAAAAAAAAAAAAACCUUAAAAUUAAAACUUUAAAUCAAAUAAACAAGCAAGAAUCAAUUAAGAUUCAAACAUUACAAAUCACAGAUCUCCAAAAUUCAGAUUAAACAACACCCUUUUGCUCAAAUUCACCAAACAUCAAUCAAUCAAGAACCAAAACUUCAAUCUUACAUUGUUUACCAAACUUCUAAAACACUUCAAAAGAAGACUUACAAAUUGGAUAAGAGAGAAAAAAAGAGAGCAACUUUGAUAUAUAGAGAGGAAAAGCAAAAAUUUAUAUCAAAAUUGCUUUCAUUUCUAUCGAUGCAAUCCUUUGUUUUUUUUCUUUCUUUUGUUCUUUCUGUUUAUCGGUUUGUACUUACUAUAAGGGCAGCUAAUUGUUUUUGUUUUUUUUUUAAAUAAAUAAAUAAAACUGGGGGGGUUCAACAAAGAAGAUCCUUUGGAUUCUAUCUGAAAAUCAAAGUUUUGGGCAUAACACAACACCUUUAUCUCACUACUGUACUUCUAGUUCUCAUUUCUGUCUCACUCUCUCUCUCUCUCUUACCAAAACUCUAUUCUAAUUGCAACUACUUAAAUAGAUUAAUCCGUGAACUAGAAAAACUAUAAGCAAUAUGUUGACCCUAAAACAGCUUAGAAAAACAUUUUGAUAUACCUUCUUAUGUCCCUAACCCAUCUUGGGAAAGGAACGGACGAAACCGCAAUAUGGGGAAUGUCAAAGUCUUCUCACAAGGCUCAUUUUUCGUAGUGGGUCAUAAGGUAGGCAGCUUUAUCUGAUCAAGGGCGGGGUCACACGGGUCCUGGAACUAUCCAGGUGGGAUGAACUCCGGAGGUGACCGUAAUGAGUAAAUCUCACUGCCGGGACUAAACGACGAGCAAACACUCGAAUGUGAGAAUGUGAGAGCAAGGGAUCACCCAACAAAUGGACGAGUAGCCGUCGAAAAACAAAAUCAUGAAUCUUGCAGCGCAUCAUUCCUCCAACCUAAAAUAACAUAAACAAAACCAUAAAGAAUCAAUAGAAAUAUUUCAAGUGAAAAGAAAAACAUGAUAAGAAAAAUAUCUUUUCAAAUUGCUUGUUCUACUGGCUACAAGUUAUCUUUGUCUUAGGCAAUCUUAUGUCAUAUGAUUUCUUCAUCUGUCUUGAAACUAAACUAAAGAAGAAGAUCAAGCAAGACUAAGAUAGAAAUUUAUACUUCCCCGUUCCUAAAUAAGUGAUUUUUUAGCUUGGGCACACCCUCUAAGAAAUUAUGCUUUCCUAGAAAACAAGAAGUAUUUUUACUAACUUGACCUUACAAAUACCUUGAAAAGGAUGUGUAACUCUUUAUUUAAAGAGGGGUAAAAUUGGAAGAACAUCAUUGUCUUCUUGAUUAUCUAAAAACACUACUUAUUUAGGAACAACAUGAAAAGGCUAAACAACCACUUAUUUAGAACGGGGGGAUUAUGUAAGUAGGCAUUUAAAUCAUAUAGUUAAAAAAAAUGGAAACAAGUAUCAAAAUCUAUUGUCUUUAUGAAAGGUUAAGCAUUUGCAUGCAAGAAAAAUUAAACCUCAAAAUUGGAGAAACACUAAUACCUACCUAGUUGCAGUUUUCGAUAAAUUUGAACACUCUUCUGCCUCAGCCAAACUGUAAUAUUUACAAUAACUGCAGUACAAGAAAACACUUAAUAUAGCAAAACGAUAAACAUAGAAGUUUUUAGCUAGAUGGAUUGAAAGAAAAACAGAAGAUGGCAUAAACAAUGUUCUUACAGAAGUAAAACUACUUUCAAUGCCUUUUCACCUUCUAGGCUCUAGUGGCAAAGGCUACAUUGUCUAUUCCUACAACCACCGAUAAGAUGAGUUCUGAGACAAAUAGAGUAUCAAGAAUCAAGAUGGUCUAAUUUUCCCUCAGCUCUAUUUCGGUUGAGGUAAUUCAUUUUGCACGCCCAAUAAUAUGUGCUCCAAUCGUGUCUGCAAACAUGGAGGUUUUAAAUUAUCAGUCAUACAAUCAUUAAUAACAAUAACAAUGAGAUGAAACUUCCAUCAUAUAAAGGAACGGUUACGUAAGAAGCGUGAUAACUGAACAUUUCCAAAAAAGUACCUAAAUGAAGCAAAAUUGAUAUAAAUUCACAAGGCCCCUCUCAUGGCCUAAGAAUAGUAGUCAACAUUAAUGUAUAAUCAAGAUAUAUAUAUAAAAAUUAUGUUUCACCUAGUGUUUUAACCUAGGCUGGGAUUUGAACCUAAGAUCUCAUGGUUCUAAACUCAUUUCAUUGACCACUAAAGCAUUUACCUAUAAACAAGAAUUGCUGAAAAGGUUAGAGAGAGAGAACCUAUCACUUCUCACUAGCAAUCAACCACUCACACCAAAAUGAAUAGCUCUCAGGAAAAUCUAACUCCACCAGCACCACCAGAUCCAAACACAGUAAAAAUAACUUCAAUGAACCUAAGCCACGCAGUAAAAAUAUGUUGCUAAAAACCAAAUCCCCAAACAAGCAUGAAUACGCAGCCACAAGAAGGGAACCAACCCAUGGACAUAUACAUCGAAGAACAACAAGAGGAAGUAGAAAGAGGCAAAGAAAUACUAGAUGUGAUGAUGGAAACAUUUCAGGAUAAUGAGGGCAGCAUAUACCUCUCUGAAGAAGGCCUUUUAUCAAAGUGUUUGGUGAAAGAAUACGCCAUCGAUAUCUAAUGAGGAAACUAUCCAUCAUGUGGAGACCAACUGAAGAUUUAACACUUAUUGAUUUGGGGCAUGAUUACUAUAUUGUCAAGUUCCUUAAAGAAGAAAAACUAAAAAGAACUCUUCAAGAUGGCCAUUGGUUUGUUAACGGAUUCUUUUUAUCCGGCCAGUAUUCCAAAGGUAAAGGCAACUGAAAUCACUCAACCAGAGAAAAUAUCAGAAGGGCAAAGCCAGGCCAACACAAAAACUCCCAUUCAAGAAACUCAAAUUGCAGUUCCGUGGCAAACAUUAUCGUUCACAAAGACGAAAAAAAAACAAGCGCCAAACAAAUGAUUCAAAAGAUGAUGACACAGGUAUCAGCGUUAAUCUCUUUGACGCCACUGCAGGUAAGUUUCUUGACUCAAAAAUCUUUAAGUACAACGAAAGGUUACUCAAUCAAACCACAGGAUCUUCCCAAAAGAAUGAUCCUAUGAGUAGUAAAGCCCAAAAAUUUGAAUCAAAAGGAAACUUCAUUGAAAGCAGCCCUUCGAAGGAGGACAGACCAACAGAACAAGACAUCAGCUCUAAUGACGUCAGCUUUCAACAGGGAAAAAUGGAAAUUCCAAUGGAUUACUCCCUACUUUAUCCACUACUUUCCCCCCUACGAAUAUAACGCUGUCCAGACUAAAAAUAUCACUGAUGUAACUGAUAAAAAUAAACCAGCUAAAAAUAUACAAACUUACUCUUAUAAAUUAAGUAAUACUAAUCCAAUAUAAAGGGAAGCCUUGCUGCACACUUUUCCUACCACACAAGUUGCUAGUCAUAGUACAGCUAGAAGCGAACAGGGUGAGGAAAAUAAAACCAUGACCCCUUCCACACACCCUAUUCCUAGACUCAACAGGAACAACUUUAGGAUUGGACAAUGCAUCAAGUAAUAAAACCAAACACAGCUUAAAAUAUUUCUAGUAGUGAGAUUCUAGAACCAUUCCUAUUCAAUUUAUUUCCGUCAUCUUACCUUUUAUACGGGAUAACAAAAAUGUAACCACCCUCUCAUUAAUUACUACACCGAAUUUGGUUGCCGUGCAUGAGCAAAACAAUCCUUCACCCCGUCAAUCACCAAAGAUAUUCCUAUACAAACUUCUACUAAUUCCACAGUAUUAAUAGAAUGUGUGAACUCCAACAAUACAGACAAAAAAAAAAGUAAAAAUUCUCCAAGCUCUAAUCUUGAUAUCACAUAGAGAGCUUGAGCUUCACCAAUUAUAUAGAGGCUCCUGCCAUAGGCCGCUCAACUGGUAUGGUUAUAAUGUGGAUGGAUGACCUACUUAAAGUUGAGGAGAUUACGACAACAGGACAGGAGAUUCAAGUGAGGAUACAUGAAUAUUCAAAUUGUAGUAAUAGGGUUCCAAUAAAAAUAGGUAGAACUCGGCCAAAUCUAACACCCCUCUUCUUCGCACAUGAUCUUACGCUUAUGGCAAAAGCAAACACCAAAAAUUGUCAUACUAUAUUAAUACUCUUGUAGACGUCAAUCGAUCUAGUGGCCAAAACAUCAAUUUUUCCACGACCAAAGUGAUUUUCAGCUCCAACUGUAAAUCAAUGUUAUCUCCAACCUGUCAUCCAUUUUAUCAAUCCAACCCCGUGAUAACUUUGGAAAAUAUCUUGGUUUUCCCAUCUUUCACAAAAGACCAACUCACAGUGCUUUUCAAUUCAUUAUAGAUAAUAUAAACUCUAAACGUACUGAUUAGAAGACGAAAUUUUUUAAUAUCGCUGAGCGCGCUACUUUUGCUAAAGUUUCCCUAAGUAGCAUACCAAACAAUGUAAUGCAAUACAUUAGUCUUCCACGUAAAACAACCAAAUAAAUCAAUAGGCUUCAGAGGAACUUUGUUUGGGGUACCACCAACACCAAAAAGAAACUUCAUCUUGUGAGUUGGGAUACCAUUACAAAACCUAAAUAUGAAGGAGGGCUCGUCAUGCAUAAAGCAGAAGUAAAAAAUAGUGUGAUGCAUGCUAGCCUUGCAUGGAGGGUUUUCAAGAAUCCUAGAACUCCAUGGGCUAAUGUCCUUAUCUCAAAAUAUUGUACUCCUAACAGAUCACCUAAAGCUAAUUCAUCAUCCACCUGGAAGUGUAUCCUUAAUGGUUGGAAAACAAGCAACAAUGCUAACUCCUGGGUUGCCGAUAAUAGUUGUUCAAUUAACUUUUGGCACGAUAUUUGGUUACCUUACCAUAAUACCAUUAGAAGCUGUAUUCUUUUUUUGGUGAAAAAAAGACAAUAAUUAGAAGUUGUAUUCAAGGUCCUCUAAAUCAUAAUGAGGAAAAUAUUAAGAUCAAAGACCUUUCCACAAUGGUGUUUAGAAUUUUAAUAGAUUAUCCCUCUCCUUACCCCAAUCUUUCAUUUUUUUUUUCACUACUAAAUACUUUGUGUCCAUAGUACAAGCUUCAUUAAUGAUUGACUCGUGUGGCAUCUAAAUCGAGAUGGUCCAACUAAAUCUGCUUACAAGCUCUUAAACUCCAAUAAGGACAUCAUUGUCCACAACAGUAACAAUAACUUCAACUAGAUUUGCAAGAUUAAGUUCUUCAUUUGGCUUCUCCACCAUAACAAAUUACCUACUAAUCAAUAUCUUAAUUCUAUUAGCCCGAAUAUUUCUCCUCUCGCAUCCCAGUAGAGAGCAGAACAAGGUAGCUGACCGAUUAGCCAAGGAAGGGGCCAAGAAGCAAUUACUUGAUCGCAGAUUCUUAGUUCCUCCGAUGUUUGCGAAUGAGGCAGUAUGAGCAGACUAACCCUCCACAUACUUAAAAUAUUCUAGAACUUUCAAGGUUCUAGAAUUCAACUUUAAUUAUUAACAUUUUUUGUGAAAACACCUUAACACAUAAUUACAGUUUAUAUACUUUGAAAAGUUUCAAUAUUUUUCUCUUCAAUCUUUUCCUAAAUCAGCUCCCUUUAUCGGCAACUUAAAGGAGAUGCUAAAGCUUCUUCAACAGCAAAAACUAUCAAAUACUGCUAAAGAGAUCUCUUAUUUUCUUUUAUAAGAACAACGAUUUCACGCUUCUCUCUCAUUCAUUCUCUGGUAAGUGAGAUCUGAUUAGUAUAGAAUAAUAUUCCAAUCAAAGCCCUAAAAUUCCAACCAAUUUAACUUUUAAUUGUCAUUUAAAUAAAAGAAAAAACAUUGAUAUCCAAAUUUUUCAAUAAGAAACAACAUAGUGUAGUAAUUCAUCACAAUAUUGCUAUUGCAUUCAAAUACCAACAAUACAUGAGUUAAAAUAAAAGCAAAAAAUAUUGUCGUGAAUUUGAUGAUAAGAGUUAAAAUCACAGAGUUGUAAAAGUGAUUGGCGUUGAAUUUGAGUACACCACCUGAUAUUGAAGAAGAAUACUUGCUGCUUUUCUUUGUUGUACCGCCACAUACUUACCAGGCAAUAUUGCCCAAUUCUAUUGAAGAAUAGUUGCUGCUUUUCUUUGUUGUAGCUGAACAUAUUUAUCAGGCAAUAUUGGCCAAUUUUAUGAUGAAAAUAAAUCUUAGCUUUAUAUUUUUCUUUCACCUGACAACAACUGUGAAGAAGAAAGAAAGAGUUUGGAUGUUUUUAAGAUUUGCAAUAAAACACUGGUUUGAAAUGACUCUUUUAACCUUGGUUGACCAUAACUGCUAUUUCCUCAUUAUGAAAGUUACUUUUUGAAAAAAAAAAAUAUUUAUAUCUCUGAACAUGUUGACACAAUUUACUUUUAGAACUUUAAUAUUAUCGAUAAUUAUUUACUCUAAAUAAUUUUUUACAUAAAUUAUAUUGCCCCUUUAAUAACUGAUAUAAUAAAAAAAAUAAAGCAUAUUUUUUAAAUAAAAUAAAUACUGAUGAAAUAUUUUAAUAAUUUUUAAUUAUUAUAUAUAAUUUAAUUUUACAUAAAAUAAAAAUGAUAAAUAAAAACAACGACUACCCCUUUCUCAUCUUCUUUAAGGCCUUUUCAUUUUCUUUAAACCCCACCACCCCCUUUCAUCUUCUCCUACACUCCCCCUCACCCCCGCCUUUUUCUUCGAAUUCAACAAACUUUCAUCCCCUUUCUUCUUCUUCGAAUCAUCUCCUUCUUUUUAAAAAAAAAAUAAAAUUCUAUUGUCCCCUUAAAAAAAAACUUCAUCUUAAUUCAAAAAAUCUUUAUUAUAAUUUUCAAAUAUGCAUUUUAGAAUACCCAUUUUCUUACCUAAAGAAGGAACCUUCAUCAUGAUUCAAAAAAAUAUUUAUUAUAAUUUUUAAAUAUACAAUUUAGAAUAUCCAUUUUUUUUCUAAAAUAAAAAAACGCUAUGGAAAGAGAAAUUAAAAGUAGCAAAAAAUGGUGAAGUGUUAAUGGAGAUUAAAAAAAAAGAGUUAAUUAAUAAAAAUUAAAUCAAUGAUUAAGGAUUAAGAAGUACUAAUGAAGGUUAGAAUUAGAAGAAUGGAAAGGUGGGUGGGUGGUGGGGUGGCUGGCGGCGGAUUGGGGUGGUGAUGGUGGUGGUUUGAAGAUUAAAAAGGGUGGGUCUGUUGAAGAACAAAGAAGAGGGGGAGGGUGCGAGGGAGGGGAAUAUAUUUUUUUAAUUAGAUAAACAUAUAUUAGUGAAAUUAUUUUUUAAAAUAAUUUUUUAUGUGGAUCUGACGUGGCCACGACGUGAGGUGAGUGUACUACACUCUCCAUUGUGAGAGUUGAAAUUAUAUUUUGGUGGUGGUAUACAAUUCAGACGAAAGUUAUUUUGGGGGGUAAAUAAUUACCGAUAAAGUUAAUGUGCUAAAAUAAAUUGUAACGACAAGUUCAGGUGAUAUUUAUGCUUUUUUUCCUUUCUUUUUUCCUUAAUUAAUUUUUGGUGUUUGAUCGAUAAGAAGAAAAUAUUGUUCCAAAAGUAUGUAGAUAUCAAUCUUGACUCGAAAUGCAAUACCCCCAACUCGGGGUUGAGGUCGGGAGUCUAGUCUAGAUUCAGAUUCGGGGCCAACGUUGUAACUCAGGUCGAGGUUAGACUUGAGGUGAGAUCCCAGUUCUGAGUCGAGACUCUCGUCCUGAAUUGGGGUUAGGAGUUUGGGUCCUAUGAUCUCGAGUUAGGGUUGGAGUUGGGAGUCAUUCACGAUCAAGUUUGGAUUCCGAGUUUGGAUUAAGGUCUAGUCCUUUGUCGGGAUUGGGUCUUGGGUCAAUGCUAGCAAGUGGAUCGAGGUCGGUUCUCGAGUCAGAAUCGAUAAUUGGACCUUGGGUCAGUAUUGGGAGUUAGGUGCAGAGUUGGUGGUUGGAAUUGGGAGUCGAGUCCCAUGUCAAGGUCUGGGUCAAGAAUUGAGUCACAUCCAAAAUUAAGAGUUGAGUCUAAGGUCGGGUGGUGCAGUUGAAAGAGUGUUGAAAUAUAAUUGUUACUUUAUGUAAGGGUACUCAUUUUCCUUAAAUUGAAGAAAAAUAAGUUUAUUUGAAAAAUAUUUUAAAAACAUUUAUGUCAAUCAAAUAUUAAAAAAUAUUUUCCUUUCAUACCAAACACAUUUAAAAAAUAUUUUCUUUUUUAACCAAACACAUUCUUAGUGUAAUUUUUUUGUAACAUAAUUGCUUGAAUUCAAAAUGACUAGUUAUCGUAUAAAUUCUAUAAAGAUAAGCAAUUAAAUUAAAGAUUUCAUAUAGUUAACUAUAUUUAAUUUGCACAUUCUUAUUAAAUUAAAGAUUUCAUAUAGUUAAAUAUAUUUAAUUUGCACAUUCUUACUCUAUCAUGUACAAACUGUAAUACACUUUUGGAUAUUAAUUUUCACAUUAUGCUAUUUUAUCGGUGCUUGUAUCCUACAUUGUUUCAUGUGUUAGCUCUAUGCUUGACCAAAACUAUCAACCAUAUUGGUAGCAGUUUGUCCAUAGAAAUUUUUUUCUGUUUUUUUUUAAAAUUAUCUUACUUUAGUAAAAAAAAAUAAAAAAUGAAAACACGAACCGUUUGACCAUGAAUUUUCCAACUCCAACUUCAAAAAAUUAUUUGAAAAAGUGAAAACAAAUUUUACUUGUGUUUAUUUUUUUUACUCAUACUUCUCCCACGAAAUUUCAAAAACAACUUUAAUAUAUAUUGAUGGUCAAACACAAUUCCAACUCCAACUCCAGAAAAAAAAAGUAAUUUUCAUGGUCAAACGAGGCCUUAAGAGCACUCACUCCGUUUUAAAAUAGUUGGUUUUUCUUGACGUGACAUUUUUCUUGAGAAAAUAUUUAUUAGAGAUUUAUUUUAUCAAAUUAGCCUUAUUUAUGCUUUGAAAAUAUAAAUCUAAGUAUAUAUACACUUUAUUUAGUCAUAAUGAUAGGAAUAGUAUUAGAUGAACAUAAUAAAAUCCUCUUAAUUUUAUUUAAAAAAUAACUAAAUUGAAAUACACAUUUCAGUAGAAGGGCCAACUAUUUUGAAACAUAUAUAACAUAUUUGAACAAACGUGUUGCUUCAAAUGCAGUCCAAUGUGAAAGAUGUUAGGCUCUACAUUUCGUUUAACGUUAUUUGCAAAAUACAAACAUAGCAUUUUUAUUAUUUUUUUGCUGCGAAUAUAGCAUGGUAGUAGCUUUGGAGUAAUGUGGCAAAUGCGAAUAAGGGUGGAUACUAAUUUGUCUUGAACCGAGGGUAAAUAUGAAAUAGCCUCUCUAUCUCAUCUCUAAGAUAAUACUUCCUUCGUCCCAUUUUAUCCGUCCUAAAUUGGAAUGACACAACUAUUAAGAAAAUAAUGAUUAAUAAUGUAACUUUACCAUUUUACCCCUCUUAAUUGUGUCUUAUUAUUAGUUCCAAUAUUGAUGAAUGACUAAUAACAAGGAAUAAUCAAUUACAGUAAGGGUAUAAUGAGGAAAAAAAAAUUGUCUUGUCUUGAUAAAUAAAAAGGAUAAGUAAAAUGGAACAUUAAAUUAGAAAAUUUAGGAUGAGUAAAAUGGGACGGAGAGAAUAAUACGGAUUGCGUACAUUUUAUUUUUUCAAGACUAUGUGAAAAUUCAAUGGGUGUAUUGUUGCUGUAUAUUUCAUUUCUACCAUGUAACUAAAUACUAGUAACACUUUAUUCUGUAACCAGAACAUGUGACGGGCAAAUGAAAAUCUCGAGAUUGCAUAAAAUUAGAUUCAAUAAAUAUUCAAAGUUAAUUAAGUGCUGGAAUUUAGAAUUUAUUGUUGUGGAAUCAAAGUUCACUAUGUAAAGUUUGCAUGAAGAUGACGUGUGAAUUUCUAGUACCCAUGCAAUAAUGUUUUAUUGGACCUUACGCGUUACGGAAUUAAAUUAAUCAGGAAUUUAAUGUGAAUGUGAAAAUAAAAGAUAGGAAAAAAGAUACUCUAUAAUACUUUUUAAAAUAAAUAGUCUAAAAAUUUGAUAUCUUUUCAAAAAAUAGUCAAUCGGAUAUACUAUUUUCGUUUUAUAGUCAUUUUCCAAUUUGGGUCAUUUUGGCCCACGUAGAGGUAGUCCAGAUACAAUUUUUAUUAUUUAGAAAUAAUAAUUAAAUAUAAUUAUAUAAAAACGAUAUAAUUGUUAUAUAGAAUAUAUAUCUAUAUAAGAUAUAUGUAUAGAAAUUCUAUAGUUCUAUCAAAUAUGUAUAUGUAUAAAAUAUAUAUAUAUAUAUAUAUAUAUAUAUUAUAUUAAAAAAAUAUAUAGAAAGUGUAUAAAAAUUAUAUAAUUGUUCUAUAAAAUGUGUGAACAAAUGUACAAUUAUUGUAUAAAUUGUGUACCGAAACUGUAUAAUUUUCGUAUAGAAUAUUUAUAUGUAUCAGAUAUGUAUAGAAAUUGUAUAGAAAGUGUAUAGAAACGGUAUAGAACAAGCUAACAAAUUGAAAUGACUAGAAAGUGAAAUUUAAAUGGGUAAAAUUCAUAAAUAGCAUACGUAAGACCAUAAUUAUGAGAUUCAUAACAACACUUUCAUAAUUAUUUAAACUAACAGCUUGUAUUUUGUAUUUGAAUAAACUGUUGCUAUAAAAAUACAUAUACAAAUCGUUUUACUGGCCAUAUUUAACUCAAAUCAGUUGAUUUAAAUAUGGUAUAAUAGCUAUGAAUUAAAUGUGGAGAUUCCUUUUCCAUUAAAAUCUCUUAAUUAACGUAAUUUUCGUUAUUUGUUACCAACCGAAAUAAAAAUUUAAAUUUCAGUUUCACAUUAUCGUUUUCAUUAAAAAAAAAAAUCAAAAUCAAAUUCAACUGAAGCAUCUUCCGCUCAAUAUCUUCAAAAAUUCAAAUUAAAACAUUACUAUUCUUGAAGGUAUUUAAUCUCAAUAUUAUUUUCUUAUAUGAAUUUCAUCAGUUGUUUGAAAUCGAUUAAAAAAUUUUCGUUCUAAAAUUUUUUUGAACCAUUACUAUUAUUUUGUUCAAAUUUUUUUUGAGUCAUUACUGAUGUUUCGUUCAAAUAUAGUGAUCAAAUCGAUUUUUCGUUAAAUUAUUUUUCAAUAUUUCGAGUCAUUAAUGAUUUUUCGUUUGAGUGAUCAAAAUCAAUUUUUCGUUACGUUGUACAAUUUUACAAUUUAUUUUGUUAAAUUAUUUUUGGAUAUUUUGUAAACAAAUUUUUUUUAAAAAAAAGUAAUGCAACAGUAAAUUGAACUGAUCGAACAAUAUAGUGAUCAAAACGAUUUUUCAAGCUGCUCAAACUCAAUUUUUUGGAGUUCUGAUUCUCGAAAUUUAAGAGAAUAUUUGUAUUUCCAUAAAGUUCAAUUUUAUAUAUUUUGAUUGUGUUCGAAUAUGGAUACUACAAAGCCAUCACUUCAGAAAAAUAUAUAUGAAAUUGGAUAUGUAUGUAUAAAAAUACAAAUGCUUCCAUAUACCUUAAAUGUAUGCUGAACAGAAUAAAAAUACAAAUAAAAGUGUAUAUGUAUUUAUAAAAAAUACAAAAUACUUCGAUGUAAUUUAAAUGUAUAUUUAGUCAGUUAAUUUGUAUAUAUGGCAAACCUAUAUGUACUGUAUUGAAAGAAAAUUUGAAAAUGUAUUUGUAUUUCAACAAAUACAAAUACGUCCAUAACCCCAACUGCAUAUUUAAACAAAAAGAAUACCCAAAUAUAUAUUUCAACAUUCCAAUAUACUGAAAAUACAUAAUAACCUCAAACUCAAAGUUGCUAAUGGUUUACAGAACAAAAUAAAAAAUAAAACAAAAAAUUGAGAAAUUGAUAACAUGCAAUAACUGAAUUUAUUAGUUACAUGAAAUUGAGGAACACUAUCCUUAUCACAUCGUGAAAAAAAUGUGAGAAAGGAAAAAAAUUGAAAAAAGAAUCUCAGAGAUUUCAAACAAUAAAAGGUAAAGUAAAAAUCAAUUAAAGAAAAGAAAAAAGAAUCUGAGAGAUUUGAAACAAUAAAAAGUAAAGUAAAAAUCAAUUAAAGAAAAGAAAAAGAGAAGUAGAGUGAAAAGGGGAACAAAGAGAAAGAGAAAUGGAGUGAAAAAGAGAACUUAUACAUGAUAACUUCUCAAAAGCAGGAAAUGGGGGACUACACUUAAAAUAAUGUUAUGUUUGCUACACAAUGAAAUUUCAUUAAAAUGUUGCUAUUUUUGAUAAUUUAAGUCUUUAAGUCUGUCUUGAAAAAAAAAAAGUCUUAAGUAUGUUACUUCUUAUAGUUUUUUCAAUUUAAAUUUCAGGGUCAUUUUCAUUGAAUUUUUUUAAUUUGAAGUGUCUUUUAUGUCCUUUCUCCUAAAAGAUACGUAUAACAACAACAACAACAAACCCAAUAUAUUUCCACAUAGUGGGGUCUGGGGGAGGGUAAAAUGUACGCAGUCCAUACCACUACCGCCGAAAAAGUAGGCUCAAGAAGAUACGUAUAACAAUGCUUGUAAAAAAAGUGACUGGUUCAGAUUUUUUAGCCUCACGCCAAUCCCAAACAUCCUUGGCAAAGAUUUGUAUUCAUUCAUUUCUAAUAAGACAUUUCAAAUUCGAGUACUGAGUAUAGAGAGUUGUUUUUGAUAGGGAGCGAUUAACCCCCAACGUAGAACUUUCCUUCGGGAUUAAUCAGUUCCAAAGUGGAUAUCCGAUACCGAGUACAAAAAAACAUACCCAGCAUAAUCCGACAAAGUGGGAACUGGAUAAUAAUGAGUGUCUAAUUUUCUUGCUCAACUCGACUGCAAACGCCAUAAUGUCCAAACAUCAUAUAAUUGAUGCAUACUUCAGUUUUCACAAAUAAAAACAAAUAAGCAAGCAGAACAACUGAUAAACAACGAAAACAGAAGUUGGAACAAAGUACUUCAUUUCCAAAGCUACCAAAUGUACUGAUACACAAGCCAAGAAAAUAAAGAUUUGAAACGCAGCAAAAAAAGAAGACUAGUACAUCACAUGUUGCCCCAGAAACCAAUUAUGUAGUGAUCGAUAAACAACACUACUACAGUACAACCAGCCAAAUUCCAUCUCUUCAGCAUCCCAUGACAGAACAGUUAUACACAAAGCUAUCUGAUUGCUUUUGGCCGAGCAAGUUCCAUUCUGGAGGUCCUUCCCUCGGUACCCACGAAUGCACCUCAAUAAAUCCUCGACCCAUAACCCUAGGCCCUCCAACUACAAUUAGCCUAUCACCACAUGCCCGAAAAGCCCAUCCCCAACCAUGAAUGGAAGAUACUCCUUCAGGCAGUCCACCAAUGGUAACCCAUGCUUUGUUAUGCUUUUCAUACUUCCUAACAGCCAUUUCAGCAUAGUCAGCAGCGUACAAUUGAUUAUCUACAACGGCUAGUAAUAGAGGCGCUGCAGAUGUAUCAGGUAUGUCAUUCUCAAGGUUAGGUUGCACAGGAGACAUGUUCGAAAUUUCGGUCCACGUUCCUGUUGCCAGAUCAUACUCUUCGGCACAUGUCAACAGCUUUGCGUCGGCUCCUCCAAUGGCUCCUAUCACGUAAAACUUUCCAUCCAUGAAUACACCAGAACACAUCUUACGUGGCUUAGUCAUGCUUCGCAAAGUCGUCCACGUGCCUGUCUCCGAAUUAUAAAGUUCAGCGGAGCUAAGGAUUUUACCUUGUGAGUCACAACCGCCAGCAAAAAUGGCGAUUUCCCCAAGGCUUGAUUUACCAAACAAACAUCGUGGCGCAUUCAUUUGCAUCCCAGUUGACCACGUAUUUGUCAGUAAACUGUACCGAUAAAUGACAUGGGCCAACACAUCCUUGCCACAAACAAGAAGCUCAGUACCAACCCCCAAUGAUUCCUUGUCGGACAACACAAAACAAUCAUUGGGAGUCAUUCUCGGCAGACGCAUCCAGCGGAGCCUAGCAAGGUCAAAAGCUUCCCACUCCAGCGGCUGGCAGGAGAAAUACACCCAAUGCUCCACCACACCAUUUCGUCGCCGCGCUCUAUAAAGUUCACUGCUCCUAAUUAAUGAGCGGAAGUUGCAGUUCAAAGAUG